rnacentral:rRNA from 1 species
AGCUCAAAUUUAUAAUCUGGCACCUUCGGUGUCCGAGUUGUAAUCUCUAGAAAUGUUUUCCGCGUUGGACCGCACACAAGUCUGUUGGAAUACAGCGGCAUAGUGGUGAGACCCCCGUAUAUGGUGCGGACGCCCAGCGCUUUGUGAUACAUUUUCGAAGAGUCGAGUUGUUUGGGAAUGCAGCUCAAAUUGGGUGGUAAAUUCCAUCUAAAGCUAAAUAUUGGCGAGAGACCGAUAGCGAACAAGUACCGUGAGGGAAAGAUGAAAAGCACUUUGGAAAGAGAGUUAACAGUACGUGAAAUUGUUGGAAGGGAAACGCUUGAAGUCAGACUUGCUUGCUGAGCAAUCGGUUUGCAGGCCAGCAUCAGUUUUCCGGGAUGGAUAAUGGUAGAGAGAAGGUAGCAGUUUCGGCUGUGUUAUAGCUCUCUGCUGGAUACAUCUUGGGGGACUGAGGAACGCAGUGUGCCUUUGGCGGGGGUUUCGACCUCUUCACACUUAGGAUGCUGGUGGAAUGGCUUUAAACGACCCGUC